rnacentral:rRNA from 1 species
AAAUUGAAGAGUUUGAUCAUGGCUCAGAUUGAACGCUGGCGGCAGGCCUAACACAUGCAAGUCGAGCGGUAGCACAGAGAGCUUGCUCUCGGGUGACGAGCGGCGGACGGGUGAGUAAUGUCUGGGAAACUGCCUGAUGGAGGGGGAUAACUACUGGAAACGGUAGCUAAUACCGCAUAACGUCGCAAGACCAAAGUGGGGGACCUUCGGGCCUCAUGCCAUCAGAUGUGCCCAGAUGGGAUUAGCUAGUAGGUGGGGUAACGGCUCACCUAGGCGACGAUCCCUAGCUGGUCUGAGAGGAUGACCAGCCACACUGGAACUGAGACACGGUCCAGACUCCUACGGGAGGCAGCAGUGGGGAAUAUUGCACAAUGGGCGCAAGCCUGAUGCAGCCAUGCCGCGUGUGUGAAGAAGGCCUUCGGGUUGUAAAGCACUUUCAGCGGGGAGGAAGGCGUUAAGGUUAAUAACCUUGGCGAUUGACGUUACCCGCAGAAGAAGCACCGGCUAACUCCGUGCCAGCAGCCGCGGUAAUACGGAGGGUGCAAGCGUUAAUCGGAAUUACUGGGCGUAAAGCGCACGCAGGCGGUCUGUCAAGUCGGAUGUGAAAUCCCCGGGCUCAACCUGGGAACUGCAUUCGAAACUGGCAGGCUAGAGUCUUGUAGAGGGGGGUAGAAUUCCAGGUGUAGCGGUGAAAUGCGUAGAGAUCUGGAGGAAUACCGGUGGCGAAGGCGGCCCCCUGGACAAAGACUGACGCUCAGGUGCGAAAGCGUGGGGAGCAAACAGGAUUAGAUACCCUGGUAGUCCACGCCGUAAACGAUGUCGAUUUGGAGGUUGUGCCCUUGAGGCGUGGCUUCCGGAGCUAACGCGUUAAAUCGACCGCCUGGGGAGUACGGCCGCAAGGUUAAAACUCAAAUGAAUUGACGGGGGCCCGCACAAGCGGUGGAGCAUGUGGUUUAAUUCGAUGCAACGCGAAGAACCUUACCUGGUCUUGACAUCCACAGAACUUUCCAGAGAUGGAUUGGUGCCUUCGGGAACUGUGAGACAGGUGCUGCAUGGCUGUCGUCAGCUCGUGUUGUGAAAUGUUGGGUUAAGUCCCGCAACGAGCGCAACCCUUAUCCUUUGUUGCCAGCGGUCGGCCGGGAACUCAAAGGAGACUGCCAGUGAUAAACUGGAGGAAGGUGGGGAUGACGUCAAGUCAUCAUGGCCCUUACGACCAGGGCUACACACGUGCUACAAUGGCAUAUACAAAGAGAAGCGACCUCGCGAGAGCAAGCGGACCUCAUAAAGUAUGUCGUAGUCCGGAUUGGAGUCUGCAACUCGACUCCAUGAAGUCGGAAUCGCUAGUAAUCGUAGAUCAGAAUGCUACGGUGAAUACGUUCCCGGGCCUUGUACACACCGCCCGUCACACCAUGGGAGUGGGUUGCAAAAGAAGUAGGUAGCUUAACCUUCGGGAGGGCGCUUACCACUUUGUGAUUCAUGACUGGGGUGAAGUCGUAACAAGGUAACCGUAGGGGAACCUGCGGUUGGAUCACCUCCUUA